CCCGGCGGGGCCUUCACGCAGGGCAGCGCCGAGGCGCCGGCGUGUUUGGAGGCAGGUUGGCUGCUCCCGGAGAGCAGCUCCCGCCGCUCCCGGCCCCAAGGCGGCCCACAGCGCCCGCCCGGCGGCCGAGACCCAGCCGCUUCCCCGCGGCGCAUCUCCGGCCCGGCCGAGCGCCGCGUGCCACGCGCGGCCCAGCGAGCUGCGAACCCAAGCGGCGCCGACACGCGGGUCGCGUGUGGCUCUAGAAGUGUCGUGCUGUUUCUUAAGGCCAGCGCGAUCUUUAAAAAGUUGCUGCCUAAUGUUAAAGAAAUGCUGUUGUUUCCCUGGGGUGGAUCGUUAACUGAGGUCUUUGUUUCUUUGUCUGCUGAGUCCUUAUUAUGAUUUCAUCUCUCUGACUUAAAGUAAACCAUCUCCCACCAGCUCCUUGUUGAGGAGAUGAAAAUGUGAGAUGAGGAAAGAAAGGAGGAAUAUAAUGAGAAUUUUUGUCUCCUUCCCAUGGUUGCACUAGGGACUUUUUAACCUCCCCGUGCUUUAUAUGAUGAUAUAAAGUAACUCUGUGCAACAACUCAAAAUGCUACAGGUCUACUGGUGCUCUUGAUUUUUAUGAUUCGGAUAUAAAAAGCAAAUGUAAUACCCAAAAUGAGCAAAGAACCAAAAUGCCACGUAGAUUUUAAAAAGUAACAGGCCAAAAUUCCAGCCAUAGGUGGCUUUCCAAGGAGACAAUUUCCGAGCAAGGAAGUCUGCCAACCAGAGGAGGAGGGGGUUUUUAUCAGACUGAACGAUUCAAUCAGAACUCCAAAUAAAGGAGGCAACAUGAUGGAAAGAUAGAUUUGAAUCACUUUGUACACUGAUGGACAAGAUUCAAAGCUUCCUGAAGGGUUUUUCGGACUCUCACAUACAACUUUGCAGCUCACACUCCCAUCAUGCCUUGUAGAAAAAUCCACAGGAGGAGGAAAGAUAAUACUGAGUCCAAACCCUGAGAACAGAGCCCCAUGAAAGCAACAAAUUCUAAACUCUACUGAAGAGAUUUUCUUCAGAAAGAUCACGUCUCAUGCUUUAGUCAUGGCCUGUUCCUUUUCCAGCAGGUUCAGAGUGAUCCGUGAGAGCUAAGUGAUUUCUUUCAAGUAAGCUGCUCACGAUGACUACAGAAACCUCGAGGAUUACAGUACACAAACAAUGGGAGAAAAGCGGCUUCAAAUAAUACACCCAGACAAUGGAGUUGCCAUUAUGGUAGCAAUGCAAAAUAUGGACAGGGAUUUAAAUGAAACGAGUGAUAUCUGCAUACUUUGGAGGGCUCACGUGUGCCAAAUUUGGCAGCAUGAGCGUUCAUCUUGCUUGUUGCUCCACCCCUUGAACAAUGAGGCUAAACCCCAUAUGUGCAGGAGUUGGUAGAGCAAAAUCGGUUUUGCUAAUCACACUGCAUGCAAAAGCAAAGAGACAAAAGGAACUAGUAAUGCUCAGACUAGCAUUGGGGAAAUAAUUAAGCAUGAAUGAAAUACU